rnacentral:rRNA from 1 species
UAAAACCUAGCCCGACACCCUCGCAACUUAUGUAACCAAAUUUCUUUAUUUAAUCCGAUAAAACAUUUUUAACAUUUAGUAAAGGCGAUUGAAAAGUAUC